GGGGACAACCCGGGGAAACUCGGGCUAAUACCGCAUACGCCCUACGGGGUAAAGCAGGGGACCUUCGGGCCUUGCGCUGAUGGAUGAGCUCGCGUCGGAUUAGCUUGUUGGUGAGGUAAAGGCUCACCAAGGCGACGAUCCGUAGCUGGUCUGAGAGGAUGAUCAGCCACGACCGGGACUGAGACACCGGCCCGGACUCCGUACGGGAGGCAGCAGGUGGGGAAUCUUGGACAAGUGGGGCAACCCUGAUCCAGCCAUGCCGCGUGUGUGAAGAAGGCCUUCGGGUUGUAAAGCACUUCAGCAGGAGGAAGGCUACCCUAAUACGGGUGAGUACUUGACGUUACCUGCAGAAGAAGCACCGGCUAAUUUCGUG
rnacentral:rRNA from 1 species